GCAGUUCUGGAACUCUGGGGUGAUGUCACAGCCCAUGUUACAGUGGCAACUGCCCCUGCCCAGACACCAACACAGACCUGCACCCUGACCUCACCCAGAGUUUUCGCCUGUUCCCAUCUCCGUGCUCCAUUCCCUUCUGCCGUGUUCCUGAUCUGCUCUGCCCUGCUCCCAUCCCCGUCUGCUUGCUGCCAUCCCUACUGCCCUGCUCCCAGCCCUUUCCACUUUUUCCCAGUCCCAUUUCUUUGAUCCUUGCCCUUAUACCUGACUUAUAACUUAUACCUGAUACGAGGAAAUGCAGGCCCAGAAGAAAGCCACCCGUGUCCUGCUGGUGGCCGCACUGAGCCCUUGCGGAGGCGAGGAGGCAGAGGACUCCCUUCACAGAGUCCUCAAGCCCUUACCGCCCCGCAAGGUGCUCAAGCAGAGCAGGAAGAGGAUCCUCCGGCUGCAGGCGCCAGCCUGUCAGAGCUGGCUAUUCCAACAACUGCGGGAGCUGGAGGAUCAGGCCACCAGCAGGAC